rfam:Hordeum vulgare subsp. vulgare, WGS project CAJW01000000 data, contig: morex_contig_64288
AUACUACUCCCUCCGUCUCAAAAUUCUUGUCUUACAUUUAUAUUUAUGUAGAUAUAAACGUAUCUAGUCACAUUUUAGUAUUUAGAUACAUCCAUUUAUAGGUAAAUCUAAGACAAUAAAUUUGGGACGGAGGAGUAUUAA